AAUAAGAAUUUAUUCUUAUAAUAAAGAUUAGUUUAUGUAGAACGUUAGUUUGUGGUGCUAG
rnacentral:tRNA from 1 species